UGGUGACAAUAGCAAAGAGGUCACACCUGUUCCCAUGCCGAACACAGAAGUUAAGCUCUUUAGCGCCGAUGGUAGUCGGACUAACGUUCCGCUAGAGUAGGACGUUACCAGGCA
rnacentral:rRNA from 1 species